UUGAGGGCUUAAGAGGGAACUGGAAUUCCGGGUGGAGUGGUGAAAUGCGUAGAGAUGUGGAGGAACACCAGUGGCGAAGGCGGCUCUUUGGUCUGUAACUGACGCUGAUGUGCGAAAGCGUGGGGAGCGAACAGGAUUAGAUACCCUGGUAGUCCUCGCCGUAAACGAUGAGUGCUAAAUGUUAGAGGGUUUCCGCCCUUUAGUGCUGCAGUUAACGCAUUAAGCACUCCGCCUGGGGAGUACGGCCGCAAGGCUGAAACUCAAAGGAAUUGACGGGGGCCCGCACAAGCGGUGGAGCAUGUGGUUUAAUUCGAAGCAACGCGAAGAACCUUACCAGGUCUUGACAUCCCGCUGACCGGUCUGGAGACAGGCCUUUCCCUUCGGGGACAGCGGUGACAGGUGGUGCAUGGUUGUCCUCAGCGUCGUGUCGUGAGAUGUUGGGUUAAGUCCCGCAACGAGCGCAACCCUUGAUCUUAGUU
rnacentral:rRNA from 1 species